rnacentral:lncRNA from 1 species
GAUGAAUUUGAGUAGACUCAGGGAGCUGGUGAUAGACAGGGAAGCCUGGUGUCCUACAGUCCAUGGAGUCGCAGUGAGUCAGAUACAACUGAACUAGUGAACUAAGCUGAACUGAACACUUUUAACAGCAUAUAGAUGAUAUGUCUGUCCUUUUAUCUGUUACUUUUUCAAAGAAAAAAAAUAAGAAGGCAAAAGAAUGAUACGUGAAAAUGUAAACCAAAGAGAUGUUUCUAUAGUAUGGCAUCACGGAAUUUUUUGAAACUGAAAAAUUUUCUAACAGCCAAAUGUGUGGAUCUUGGGGGUACUUUGGAAAAUUCAGGCACUGCAGUUCCUGCAGGAAGUGUGGCCUGCGGAUGUCCAUUGCAUAGCAGAAGCGAGUUUGGAAAAAUGCUGACACUCAGCUUCUUUUUAGCAAAUUUGCAGGUGGAUCUUAUGGGUGCACCGGAAAGAUAACAUCCGAAGGAAGAUCAGAAGUCAACAGGUCUUCCCACAAUGGAAAAAUGAUGACACAUCUGACAUCUUACCUUAAUGAUUAACUCAGAUUGCUUCACCUUUCUCCGUUUAAAAAAAAGCAUGGCUGAGCAGAAUAUUCAGAGUUGGACACAAGUCUACUUUCUCUCCAGCUUUUUGGAGUAAAAGUCUCUCCUUUCUACCAACACUUGCCCCUCAAAUAUUGGCUUUUGAGCAGAGACCUGCUGGACUGGAGUUCAGUAACAAAAAGAGCUCUCUUGGACAGAGGACUGAGAGACAGGGUUCCAGCUCCCUCUUUCCUACCGCAGUCACUGAUUUUCAGUUUCCUUACUUGUCAAACAUGGGCUUUGGUUAGCACCGGCUGAUUUACAAGGUCUCGUUUCACUGCAAGACUCUGGAUUCAGGUCUCAUGAAGCUGAAUUAAAUGUUCUUUUGCUAUCAUCACAGUUCCCUCCUUCUUCCCUAGGAAAUAGAAAACUUCUGCACUUGAGAAUACUAUCUGACUUCCAAAAAAUGUCCAUACACUUGUAUUUUAUAGGUUCUGUUUUAACGAAACAAGCCUACUGUCAACCUGCGAACUCUCACGAUUGUUGAAAUGCAAAAGCAAAGUGAAAGAGCAAAUCAUUUGAUUAUUUUUCUUCGAUAGCAAGGAAUAAAAGUAACUUUGUCUCUCCUAGUAUAGCCAUUCCUGGCAAUUCAUUAUAUCAUGGGGAAAAAAAU